rnacentral:snoRNA from 1 species
ACCCCCCCGGGGGGGCAUAGAUCCCCAUGGGACCCUAUAGGGGCUAUCUGGACCCCCCCGGGGGGGGUAUAGAUCCCCAUGGGACCCUGUAGGGGCCGUAUGGACCCCCCUGGGGGCUACAGUCCCCCAUGGGACCCUAUAGGG